AUUGAACGCUGGCGGCAGGCCUAACACAUGCAAGUCGAGCGAGCGGCGGACGGGUGAGUAAUGUCUGGGAAACUGCCUGAUGGAGGGGGAUAACUACUGGAAACGGUAGCUAAUACCGCAUACCAUCAGAUGUGCCCAGAUGGGAUUAGCUAGUAGGUGGGGUAACGGCUCACCUAGGGGACGAUCCCUAGCUGGUCUGAGGGGAUGACCGGCCACUCUGGAACUGAGACACGGUCCAGACUCCUACGUGAGGCCGCAGUGGGGAAUAUUGCACAAUGGGCGCAAGCCUUAUGCAGCCAUGCCGCGUGUAUGAAGAAGGCCUUCGGGUUUUAAAGUACUUUCCGCGGGGAGGCGUUACCCGCAGAAGAAGCCCCGGCUAACUCCGUGCCAGCAGCCGCGGUAAUAC
rnacentral:rRNA from 1 species